UCGACUCGGUACCAGGUUUGUGCUCGCCCGCGUUGAAAGUGCCCCGUCCCACAAGUGUGUAGUGCAAGUAUCAUCUAAUGCACCAAAGUGCAUCACCGAAAGCGCAAAGUGUUGCGCAAUAACGCCAGCAACAAUAUUCCGGCAGAAGCUUCACCAAAUCCCGCAUUUCAUCUACAAAUCGAUGUGCAUGUACCCCACGAGCUGUUUGCAAUAGGGGACAAGGAAAACCAUUUUGUCGCACAACAUAAACGGAUUUGGGGAAACUACUUCGUGGACAUACAUCAUCGGGCACUUUCGUCGAAGGCAAACAAACCAGGCCGUGGUCCAGAUUGAGUAACAGCAAUCACGCUAGUAAAUUCCAAUUGGAAUUAUCUGACUAUUGGACAAUACAGAGCAGUGUGAGCUCCUGAGCUAUUAUACCAUCAUACCGCGUUGCUGCUACCGAAAGCAAAAAGGAAAGGCCUUCUUAAAAAGAAGGCCUUUUCUAUCACAGUGUCUCACACUAUAUCGUUGCGUCUCGUGAGAAAAGCGUUGUGCCGGUCGACUGCUAGCUGCUACAUCGAAGGGAAGUGCUGAGUGUUUGGC